GAUCUGAAAUCAGGUAGGGCUACCCGCUGAACUUAAGCAUAUCAAUAAGCGGAGGAAAAGAAACUAACAAGGAUUCCCCUAGUAACGGCGAGUGAAGCGGGAAGAGCUCAAAUUUAAAAUCUGGUUUGCUUUGCAAAUCCGAGUUGUAGUCUGAAGAAACGUUUUCCAUGAAAGCUGAGGCACAAGUCCUUUGGAACAGGGCAUCAUAGAGGGUGAGAAUCCCGUCCAUGGUCUCAAGCCUUUCAUUUUGUGAUACGUUUUCUAAGAGUCAGGUUGUUUGGGAAUGCAGCCUAAAAUGGGUGGUAAAUUUCAUCUAAAGCUAAAUAUUGGCAAGAGACCGAUAGCGAACAAGUACCGUGAGGGAAAGAUGAAAAGAACUUUGAAAAGAGAGUUAAAAAGUACGUGAAAUUGUUGAAAGGGAACCGU
rnacentral:rRNA from 1 species